AGGGAUGACGGCCUUCGGGUUGUAAACCUCUUUCAGCACAGACGAAGCGAAAGUGACGGUAUGUGCAGAAGAAGGACCGGCCAACUACGUGCCAGCAGCCGCGGUAAUAACGUAGGGUCCGAGCGUUGUCCGGAAUUAUUGGGCGUAAAGGGCUCGUAGGCGGUCUGUCGCGUCGGGAGUGAAAACCAGGUGCUUAACACCUGGCCUGCUUCCGAUACGGG
rnacentral:rRNA from 1 species